UUGUGAUUUUUCAAGUUUUUCUUCUUGUCUUGAAAAAGGUGGUUGCUAACUAUAUAAGCUCUAUAAGCGAAAUAUAACAUAGCCCAAAUGUGAAAGAAUUAGAUUUAAAAUUACAUUUUAAUUUCUUUCACUGUCGACCAAUAUCUUGAAGGAAUAUGUUGAGGCACAUAAUGCUUCAAAACGCUCUUAUUGGCAGCUCACUGGGUUUCGGAACAGUAGCUAAUUUACAUUAUUUGAUCAUUCCUUCCUAUCUGGGUGCUGCAUUAUUUGCAUUUAUUUCCUGCUUUCCAGAUUUCCUGUUUGUCUAAAAGAUAUUCCACACCUCUGAUCUCAAAUCCAUAUCAGAUGUCACUGUGUGCAGACUUGUGACUUGUGUGAGAACUAUCUGUUAAAGUCCUGUGGUGAGUCAGAAUGUCAACAUGCCCCCCCACCCCCCUCCGUUUAGACCAGAUUAACUUGUCAAACGACUGGUUCUUUGCUAGACUGGUCUUUCUGAACGGAUCUCAGCGUCUGAUCCUUCACGGGCCAGUGGCAGAGGCUUAACAAAGUACAAGGUCAAUCAGAAGGAAAGGAAGGGGGAUGUGGAUUUGGGAUCGUUUUACCUGGAUAUGGAUUAGCACUUCAGCGAGACGGUUCCUUUCGAGUUUUGUCUGUCUCAGCGCCUUUGCCACCCAAAGCUCAGAGACAGUUUUAAUUGCAACACGACGACCACAAGAAACACACAAAACCCUCAUAAAAGUAUAGAAAAGCUGGCUGCGUUCCCAAUGAGGCCAGCAAAUCAUGGAGUAAUUACAGGUAAGCGACCUCUCCAUCUCAGACUGCUCUACGGGGAGGGAGAUUUUUCAAUAUUUUAUGUAUGGUCAAAGCAUGGUGCUUUACGUACUGCUUGAAUGUUGACUGCGGGCCUAUAGGUGAUGCCCUGUACUCUGAAAGCCGUAGAAGUUUGGUGGCAAGUAAUAUAUUAGCCAGGUAAGCCGCCUUAUCCAGCAUUAUUAUUAUUAGUCUAACCACUUUAUUCAUGAUGUUCUAAUUUGUUUUUUAACUUUAUACACAGGGACAAAAUAAGUGAAAAAUUAAGUGAGUUUUUGUUGGAAAAAAAACAAAACAAAAUGCCAGUGGGAUAAGAAAAAUACCUUUGAAAUAAGAUUA
ensembl:lncRNA